GCAAUUUUAGUGUUAAAAAAAAUUAAUCUGAAAAUAAUUGAAGAUUAUUAUCACCACAUUAUGCCUAAUUGCAUAGCCGAUACAAGAUCGAUGGAAUGUGUCUCAAUAGCUACGUUUUAUGCUGGCCGGAAUAUUUUCAUAACCGGUGGUAGCGGUUUUUUAGGAAAGGUAUUAAUCGAAAAAUUAUUGAGAUCUUGUCCUGAAAUUGGACAUAUAUUUAUUUUAAUGCGGCCAAAAAAAGGAUUAUCUAUCGACGAAAGAUUGAAGAAAAUGUUCGAAUUACCGCUAUUUGAUAGACUAAGAAAAGAAAACUAUUCUAGUUUCGAAAAAUUAAUUCCGGUUCUUGGUGAUAUAAGCCUCGAGGAUUUAGGUUUAUCAAAAAUCGAAAGACAAACAAUAAUCGAACAAGUUUCAAUAAUUUUCCAUAUAGCUGCAAAUGUUAGAUUCGAGGGAAAUUUAAAGAAAGAUAUAUUUUCGAAUGUUCGUUCAACAAGAGAUGUCUGUAUUCUUGCAAAAAGCAUGAAAAACUUAGUGGCUUUAGUGCACGUUAGUACUGCAUACGCACAUGUUGAUAAACCGGUGAUUGACGAAAUUGUAUAUCCUUCCUUAACCGAUUGGAGAAAUGUUAUAAAAAUGGUAGAAUCAUUGGAUGAACAAAUUAUACAAGUAUUUACUUCUAAAUAUUUGGGUUCAAUGCCAAAUACAUACACAUUUUCCAAACGAAUAGCUGAACAAGUGAUAAAUGAUUAUUCGAAAGAUUUACCUAGUGUAAUUUUUCGGCCGUCAAUAGUGACAUCAACAAUCAAUGAUCCUAUGCCUGGCUGGUUGGACAACUUUAAUGGACCUGUGGCAAUGAUGAUUGGUGGUGCAAAAGGAAUAUUGCGAAUAAUUCGUUUAGAAGCGAAUGCAUGCGCAGAUUUUCUUCCUGUUGAUUUGGCUAUUAAGAUUAUGAUCGCAGCGGCAUGGAAACGAGGAUUAAACACAAUUACCAAGGAUCCAACUACUUACGUUUACAAUGCCACUUCUUAUCAAAUUCAUCGCAUUUCUAAUAAAGAAAUGAUUAAAAUGGGAUUGAAAUUAAAUGAAGAAAUGCCAUUUGAAGGAAUCAUUUGGUAUCCCCAGACUUUUAUAACAUCGAACCGUUUUCUUUAUUUUGUAUUGACAUUGUUGAUUCAUGUGAUACCAGCCUUGAUUAUAGAUGAAAUUCUCAAAAUAACGGGUCGUCAACCGAUGCUGAUGAAACUUCAUAAAAUUAUUUAUUCACAUGUAACACAAUUAAGUUACUUCUUACAUAAUGAAUGGAUUUUUUAUAAUUUCAAAAUGUUGGACAUUUUGGAUAUGCAAGUUCCAUUGGCAGAACGAGAAAUCUUUAGCUAUGAUUAUCGCAAUUUUAAUUUAAAUAAAUAUUUUAAGUGAGUAAGCAAAAUAUGGAAUGAACGAAAUGUUAUCUUUUGAAGGAGGAUCUGAAUCGAUUAAAAGAAGUAAAACAACAUUUUAAUAGGAUGCAAUGGAUCAAUAGAAUUUUCAACAUUUGGUUAAUUAUCAUGUUAAUGUGGACACUUGGAAAAAUCGGAAUAUUUUCAUACUUUUCAAAUUGAAUCGCUUUCUAACCAGCUUAUAAUGAUUUGUUUACAAUCUGAAAUUAUUAUUUAAUAACGUGUAAUUGGUAAGAAAAUACUAGUAAAAAAAAAAGAAAGAAUAAUGCAAUAAUCAAUUGUGAAAAAAAGAAUCUAUUCAUGUAUUUUAUUAUCUUCGAAACAUAAUUAUGUUAUAUUUUAAUAUCUUCGAAACAUAAUUAUAUUAUAACAUUAUUAUACAAAUAAAUUCAUUAUUAUACAAAUUAAUACAAAUAAAAUAAAUUCAGAAUAUUA